UCUGUCUUCCCCCUCCUCUCUCCAUUUCUCUCUGUCCUAUCCAACAACAAUGACAACAAUAAUAACUACAACAGCAAAACAACAAGGGUAACGAAAGGGAAUAAAUAAAAUAAACAUUAAAAAAAAUAAUACAAAAAAGAAAGAAAAAUAACACUUACUUAUAAAAAAAAGAAUACAUACAACAAGGGCAACAAAACGGAAAAAGUGACCUCCAGGAGCAACGGAUUCAUAGUGCAGGCACAGAGCCACAACGAGAACCCUGGAGGCAACACAAACAAAAACAAAAACAAAACAAAACUGUAAAGAGACUAAGCAGUAGACAAAAUGAAUUACACCCUGCCUCCCAUUUAUGAUAAAGCAUGUGUAGGGCAGACUACACAGCAGACUAGUCCAGUGCAACACAAGUAGCUUCGUAGCUUCAUUUUCCUCCUCUUCGGCCACUCAGAAGAGAAGCACAGGUAGUUAAAAAAAAAAAAAAAAAAAAAGGCCACAGCGAGCUAGCUUGCUUGCUCGAGUUGGGAAGUGAUCAGUAACCUGGAUUUUGAUCUGGGAAAGCAGUUUAUUAGCCCAGUGAGCUACUCCACCAGCCUUCCUCUGCGCCCCGCCCCAUCUGGUCCCAGGGACCUGGAGGGGAAGCCCAAUCCCACUGGGCGGGGCCAAUAUCCAGGAACCCGGAUUACCACACCUCCCCCCCUCUUCUGCUUUAACUUCAGUCCCUGGUUCCUCACCAGAACAGGAAGAGCCCGCAGACAUGGGGUGGGUGCCCUGUGUUGCAUUGCGCCUCGGGAACCCACGAGUUGCAGACCCUGGUCUUCUAGGUGGAGUCCCAGGCAGACCACCCAGGGGUCAGUCUUCCAGACGCUUCGGUUUAUGCUGCGACUGGCUGCUGCAACCAGGUCCUGUAAUACUGCAGAAAACAAACUUGGAAAUGUUCAAACACCGACUAUGACAAUAUGGACUCUGCUACACUUAGUUCCCUGGAAUGAUACGAGUACAAAAUAGUUUUCACAGCUGAUUGCCUGCAUAACAAAAAUAAUUUUAUGACCAGGAUGAAUUUUAACCAAAUGACUCCAAAUUUCUGACUUUAAUCAUGAUGACACAGUGGUCAAACUAAAUGAAAUAAAAGGAAGAUGAAUUCACUGAUGAGAAGCCAAAACUUUGCCCUGAGUUAACCAAGAUGACUUCUGUGAUUGUCAAGCAUGAUCCCCUAAAGGCAGAGUACCACACCCAUUAAAAAAAAAUACUACUACCUUUGCUGUAUGGAUCUUUCCUCUCUCUGCUGAUAAUGAAACCAAAAGAAAAGACCAAGAAGAGUAAAAAGAAGACAAAGGAAAAUGAAUAUGGGUCAUCUCUAGAAGCUGAUGUUCUGGUUGGAGUGAUCAAGAAGUUUACAUCAUUCAGAAACAUGGUAAUUGUGACCCUCAGUCACUGGCAGAGAGUUCAAGAAUGAGGUGAAUCUCAUGCAAGACAGGACCAGGCUCUGCUUCCAAAAUCUUCUGGGAUUCAGGCAUGAACGAUCAACUAGGAAUACCAAAGGAGACCACCCAGGACCUAAACAAGACAGGAAUAGAAUGACCACAGGAACCCACUAAAUCACUGGAUUAUCGCUGGGGCUCAGUGCCUGCACAACGAAUCCACUCUCCUGGAGGCCAUUUUUCCCUGUUCUUGGAUAGGACAGAGAGGAGUCGAAGAGAAAGAAUCCUGCAGGCCUACUUCACAACCCGUGAAGCGACCCCCCCCAACCCCAGCAAGUGGGAGCCAUGGGCUCAAACCGGGUCCUUAAGCAGGUCAUUGCGCUUUGCAUAAUGUAUGAUUAACUCACUGUGCUACCGUUGAGCCGCCAACCACCGCCAUGUUAGUGGACACAUUGCAGAAAUGGGUUCACUGUUAUUUCUACAACUAUCUGUCUAUAUUUGCCUUUUACUUUUUCCUAUGGUCCCAUCUUCUUUGCAGCACUGCUUCACCACUUGUGAAGCUUUCUCCCUGCAGGUGGGGACUGGGGGAUUGAACCUGGGUCCUUGCAAAUUGUAACAUGUGCACUCAACCAGGUGUGCCACCACUCGGCCCCAAUAAAUACCAUUUUCUUAGAAAACAAUCAUUCCUGUGUUACAAGAGUGACACAAAGCCCAAAUUAAGUGUUAACUGUAUUUCUAUGUCCCCAUUACUAUAAAACACUGUUCACUAAUAAAUGGGGACAGAAUUUGUUUUGAAAAUCUAAAGGUUCAGAUUCAAAAGUCCAAGGUCCAAUCCCCCUGCACCACCAUAAACCAAAGCUGAGCAGCACUCUGAAAGGAAAAAAAAAAUUAUAGAGCCAGGUGGUGGCAACCUGGUAGAGUGCACAAGUCACCAUGUGUGAGAAAUUGGGUUCAAGUCCCAAUGUCCCCUCCUGCAGGGGGAAAGCUUCACAAGCAGUGGAGCAGUUCUGCAAGUGACUCUUCUUCCCUUUCCCUCUCCCUCCCCUUAAUUCUCCCUCUCUACUUCUCUGUCUCUAUCAGAAAAUGAGAGACAGAGAAAAUAUAUAAACAGCCACCAGAAGCUGUGGAGUCAUUGUGUAGGUACCCAAUUCUAGUUAUAACCCUGGUGGCGAUAACAAAAAAAAAAAAGCAUGUUUAUUAAGUAUGUAGUGUUAGUAAAAUACAUAGUAACUGUCUUAUGAAUUUACUUUAGCUGUUGCUUUCAAAUCUGUUGACUGUCAUGAGUCUCUGAUUUCAUUCCCUCCCACGAAAUAAUACCCGAUUUAUUGAUAAUUAAUAUUCCCUAUUUUUUUUCUUUAUAAAAAAAGAUUUCAUUUCAGAGCUUUACUCUGGAUUUCCAAGGAUUGAAAUCAGGACUUUGGUCACUCCACAACAGUGCCACUUCUCGGCUAUUCCAUUUCGUUUUUCUUCAGUUUUUUUUUUUUUUUUUGGUCUCCAGGGUUAUUGCUGGAGCUCGGUGCCUGCAUUACGAAUCCACUGCUCCUGGAGGCCAAUUUUCCCAUUUUGUUGCCCUUGUUGUCAUUAUUAUUAUUGUCAUUGCUGUUGUUGCUGCUGGAUAGGACUGAAAGAAAUCGAGAGAGGAGGGGAAACAGGAAGGGGAAGAGAAUGACAGACACCUGUAGCCCUGCUUCACCGCCUGUGAAGGGACCCCCCACACACACACAGGUGGGGAGCUGGGGGCUCAAACCGGGAUCCUUACACCGGGUCUUUGAGCUUCCAGCCAUGUGUGCUUAAGCCGCCGCGCUAACACCCGACCCCCUUUUCUUCAGUUUUUAUCAUAUAAUCUGUACACUAAUAUUAUAUAUUCUAGAUAAUAUACUCUAGAAUUGUGCUCUCUUUAAAAGCAAAUAGCUUUCCUCUAUAUGUGUGUAAAAGAAAGAAAAAAAAAUAAGCCAGGUUCAAGCCCCUGCAGAGGGAUAGCUUCACAAACAAUGCUGCAGGUGUCUGUCUCUUUCCCUUUCUCCCCUCAAUUUCUCUUUGUUCUGUCAAAUAAAAUAAAGUUUUAACAAUCAGAAUGGCAUUGACAAGCAAAAUAAUUUCCUCUCAUUUCUUAAAGUUUAUUUAUCUUGGAUAGAGACAGAGAUAAAUUGAGAGGGGAACGGGAGAUAGGAAAAGGACAGAGAGAUACCUGCAGUACCAUUCAAAAAGCUUUCCCCUGCAAGUGGGGACUGGAGGUUUGAACCAGGGCCCUCUGCCUGGGCUGAUUUCCUUUUAUUUUUUGUUUUUUAUUUAUUGUGAAAGAUAAGGAGUAAGAAGAGAGGGGAGCAGAGAGCACUGUUCAGUUUGGACAAAAGAUGGUGUCAGGGGUGAGGGUAGACAGCGUAAUGGUUAUUAAAAGAGACUUGCAUGCCUGAGGCUCCAAAGUCCCAGGUUUAAUUCCCCACACCACCAUAAACCAGAGCUGAGCAGUGCUCUGAUAAAAAAAAAAAAAAAAAGUUUUGCCAGGAAUUGAACUAGUGACCUCAGAGUCUUCAGUCUUUAAGCAUGCAAGUUAGUGCUGUAACAGACUGAGCUAUUUCCCCAGGCCCCUCUAAUAUUUCAACUUACAGGG